rnacentral:rRNA from 1 species
UUCAAUACUGCCUUUAAACCGUAGUGUGCACUUUUCCUUUAGUAAGACGCUGUGAUCCAUUAGAAAUUGGACCAUACCAAUGGUUAUUGGGCUAUCAAUAGGCCAUUAUGAAGUUCAACGGUGCAAAUGGCUCGAUCUUUAAUGGUUGGGUGUAUUGCCUGGUGAGCAUAAUGAUACCUGUAAUAGCUGUCUGAUGGAUUUUAAAGGUCAUAUCAUUAAUGUCUUUAUGGCAUUACUCUGUUCGCAGGGAAUGGAUAUGUACCCGAUCAACAGCGGUUAAAUUUGGGAUACCUUUGGGACCCGUCUUGAAACACGGACCAAGGAGUCUAUCUAGUAUGCAAGUAAAUGGGUAUAUGAAACCUAUUUGCAUAAAAAACUUGACUGUUAUGGGAUUACGAGUUAAUUUGUUCGCAAGAACAAUGACUUCUCCAUCCCGGGGCAUUUUCAUCAACAUAUGCGUGCAAAUGUAUAUGGGAAAUGUACCAUGAGCAUACUGGAUAUGACCCGAAAGAUGGUGAACUAUGCCUGAUCAGGUUGAAGUCAGGGGAAACCCUGAUGGAGGACCGAAGCAAUUCUGACGUGCAAAUCG